CCGGAGUGAUGUUCGGUCCAGAUCCAUUAAUCGGAUUCCCAACUGCUCACAGAGUCGCCCAGCCAGGUUAUGGCUUUGGUUCCAGGAUGCUGUCAACUUCGAAGAGUGUUCAGUGGAUUGGCCUCAAGCCCCAAAUAUGGUGCUAUCUGUGAUUGUGAAGCUGAAUGGAGGUCAUCGUGAUAAAUACUUGCAUAGAGGAUGACUGACCCUCUCAAAGCAGAACUGCAUGUGAGGUAACUGCGGAUGAAUAAUCAUAAGUAAGCCCUGAACUGAGAAUUUUUUAAAGUCUUCUAUUGUCUCAAGUAAGUAAUUUGUCAAGUGGCACCCACAUCUUUUGUCCAUGUAUAUCUAGUAAAAUCUCAGAGUUAAGAUGUUUCUUAUUAAAGUGGGGGUAGAGGGAAUAAUGUAAUUUCCUUUU